GCAUAGCUCAGAGGCAGAGCAUCAGUUUUGCAUGCGGAAAGACCCAGGUUCAAUCUCUGGCAUGUCCA